rnacentral:rRNA from 1 species
GACGAACGCUGGCGGCGUGCUUAACCCAUGCAAGUCGAGCGGCGCGGCGAACGGGUGAGUAACGCGUGAGUAACUGCCCCCCUCUCUGGGAUAACAGUUGGAAACGGCUGCUAAUACCGGAUAGUGGGGGAUGACUCGCGUCCAAUCAGCUUGUUGGUGGGGUAGUGGCAUACCCAGGCGACGACGGGUAGCCGGCCUGAGCGGGCGACCGGCCGCAAGGGGCUGCGGUACGGCCCAAAGUCCUACGGGGGGCAGCAGUGGGGAAUCUUGCGCAGUGGUGUAAAGCCGUAUGCAGCAGCGCCGGGUUCGGAAUGACGGCCGUCGGGUUGUAAACCGCUUGCAGCCAUGACGCGGGAGUGGCAGAAGAAGCACCGGCUAACUACGUGCCAGCAGCCGCGGUAAUAC